GCGACGCGACGCGACAGUUUUCAUAUUCCAAGAGGAUAUUCCAACAGGAUAGGGUAGAGGGAGGCCUUCUACGCCUGCCUCGAUUUAAUUGAAUUGUUACGCGCUCGCAAAAUUGCAACCGAGUGUGUUUUUCAGAAUCGUUUACAAACUAGUCGACGAUACGUUCCCUGUUUUAAUUUCAUUUCGAUAUGGACGUUGAAUUACCGAGCACGCUCGAAACAGAAACACCACUUUGUGUAAUUGAAGAUACAUCGGUAAUAACUUUAUGCGUCAGAAAAAAAUUUCUUCUACUCUGACUUCGGACAAAAAAUACUUUUGAAAUUCAUACAAAUAAUACUCGACAUUUUUCAGUUUCGAUCGCGUUCUAUUUGCGUAGCAGAUGUUUCGUAAAUAUUGCAAUUUAUCGAAGAAGCAAACCUUGAAAAAGUAAACUGCAAUGUUUACGAAACGGCGACUAAAAAAACAAACGAAAUUCGAAACUCGGAAAAUGGUAGCGAAUUGAUUCACACCAUCGCAUCGUGGAAGUUUCGUGUGUAAAAGGGAUGAAAUGUUCUGAGAACUCGUGAUGUAUAGUAAAUUAGUCUCGAUUAAAUGGUGCAUGAAAAAAGCAGAAAAAAUUGGUGUCGCGUUUGUUGAAAAGAAUUUCGUGGGAAGGAUGGAGAGUAUUUCGUUCGAUAUGAUCGAAACGAAAUCGACAUAUCGCAGUUAUGCAUUCUGGGAAUUUUCGAGGGUGGGACGAGCCAUCCCCGGAGACCGGAACCGUCCGACCGUGUUUAAUUGGAAUUUCGGUGGCGGGAAAAAUUUGACGAACACAGCUCACCGUUUGCCGUUUGCCGUUUGCCGUUUGCCGUUCGCCGUUCGAAGAGAUCGAUUGCAAAUUAUUCUCGACACGAUACGCGAAGUCAAUCCCCUGGCAGGCCGUUGAAAUUUUCCGAGGCUUGUAGCGUGCUUUAACACGCGUUCGAUUAAACUCGCAGCCUAACGAAUCUCGCUGGCAACCGUCAGUGUCGAACAUCACGAACGACACCAAGAACAAAGCUCGAAACAAACUUGUAUCGUUUUGUUCCACAAUUGCGAUUGAUGAGAAUCGAUUGAACCUGGCUGAAUUGAUUGAUUGAUUGAUUGAUGCGAAAUUCAUUCAUUUUUUCAAAGCAUUCCCUUUAUUGUUACUACACUGCAAGUAGACUGUGCGAUAUGUUGGAUAGGUUUUUUAUUUAUUCUUUUAUCACUGACUAUAGGUGAAAGGGUUAAAAAUGAAAAGAAAAUGAUAAAACUUUGACGACGAGUUUGCUUGAUCGCAUCGAUCAGAGAAAGGAUUGCGUUUAAACGACGCGAUAACUCGUCUUUCGCGUGAUUAACGAGUUAAUGGCGAUUGAACGAGGAAAGGGGAAACGAUGAAUAUGAAAGCAGAGAUCCAUUCACGCUUUAUUUCUUGCUCGAUUUUCAAUUGCUAAUGGAUGAACGCGUCCACCCGAGAUAUCUUUACAUCGCAAUUCCUCCGUUGAUAUGGUUGAUCGAACAAAUCGACGAGCAAUUUGGUAUUCCCUUAACGAUUCCAAGAUAACAAGAACGGUCUUCCGUGUAAUUUGCAAUUUAAAAUUACCCUUUUACAUUAGUCCCCCUUGUAAUCGCUUCGAUUUUAUACGUUCACUAGGUAAAUAUCGUUUUGUCCCUUUCCAGCAAUCUACAUUGGAAAACGCGAAUAAAAAGCGUUUUCUGUAAACGUUUCAAAGUAAAGUAACCCUUCGAAUGGAAGUAAUUUCUUCUCAACUAAAAUAUCGUCGUUACAACGCGAACAAAUGAUAAAAAAAUUUUCUUCGAGGUAGCUAGAUAUCAUCCUUGGUGUCUCUGUUACCAUAACUCGCCGCCAACAUAAUUUUAUCGGGGCCACGGUGCGGGUAACAACAUGCUGACACAGUGCGAGACAAUAUCUCGAAGCAAGUGGAACCGAGAGACGCGGGCCGUGUGUCGCGUAUACAUAGCUACGUAGUACGUGUAAUCUCUGCACCAAGCAUGUAUAUUAUCUACACUAUUGUUCAUAAGUAUCAAGACGUUUCCUUAUUCUUUGAAAUAGAACAAGUUUCGAUAGGUUUAACUAACUUUUUUCAAAAAGAAGCAAAAAUUCCUUGCGUACAGUAAUUUGCAUCGUUUAACGUGAAAUAGGGUAGAGAGGAUUAUCAAGGGAAAAUUGUCACGUGUCGAGAUACUUAUGAGCGAUGAUGUAGGUGUACGUGUAGGUACAUGGACAGCAGUUACACGUAUGUGUCUUGCGUUCGUAACAAUGCUCGGGAUGUAUAUCAAGCUGUGCCUGUCAUCGCCGUAUCUAGCUUACCCAAUAUCACCUCGGUAUUAACUCGCAAAUGCCUGGCUGCCUGAUACAAUUAUCCUCGUCUAGCCUCGAACCAGCCCUAAUUAACCAACGAUUAAUCUUUAAACUCGCCCCCUCGCUUCAACUACCUUCCAACUUUUUUUUUUCAUCUCUUUUCUCCUCUUCUUUCACGACGAAACUCUUGGCCAGAACGCGUUAUCCGCUUUUUGCAGGCCACCUAUUCGAAUCUGGUGCCUCGAAAAGAUUUCAAUUAACGGGCCGAUAUCGCUCAACGAUGCAAUUAGGAAAAAUUGAAGCGUCUUUAAACACAUGUCGGUAUAUAACGCGUCUUUCAUGGAACAGAAACGAGGAGGAGGAGGAGGAGGCCAGCGCAGCUGCAGCCGUACAAUACAUACGUGUAUGUACAAUAUAUCACGACCCGUUUUCUCCGAUAUAAAUAUGGAUGAGAAGCAGCGUAAUGUCGCCGAUAUAACUCUCCGCCUACAAUAAGAAACGAGGAUGCACGGUUGAAAACGUUAAUGCAACCUUGUAAUAUUUCUGCGUUUUACUUCGAUAUUGAAAACGACCGAGCUAUGUAUUGCUUUCCGAGUCUCUUCUGUUCGCGUAGUAAUACCUCCUUCCUCGAAUAAAAACUUCUCUAAUCUGAUCAAAAGGUGGAGAAAUUACGCUGAAAAUUCGUUGACUUGCGAAAGAUUUUCAAAUGGGAACAAAGGGAUCGCGGGAAUCCUGAACUGUGUUCAGAAUCCAGAAAUAUGCGUGCAGAUACAUUCUAUCGGCUUGGUCGACUUGACGUCCCGAAACAUCGAAGCCAGCAGUGACUACAGAUACAAAAAACCGGACAUGCCUUUGUUUUCGAGGGAUCAUGAUUUUCGAGAUCCUAGACACCUUCAGAUGAGAUUAGGUCUGCAUGCAGAGAGCACAUCCGGUGUACUUACAUAUGCAUGUACAGAGCACAGCCCGUAUGGUCAUCCUGCCUGUCUUCCCAGUACCUCUUUUGCCAUAUCUCGCACUCACGACUGAAGACACAAGUUUUAGUCCCUUUCAUUCCUGUUUUUUAUUUUUUUGUAAAUUAGUGCAGUUCCGCACAAGACUAAACAAUGAUUAUUAUAAUUGUUUGACAAACUUGUAUUCACUUCAUACACCUUGGUAAAUAAAUCAUUUUAAAAGAG